rfam:Dipodomys ordii contig_52170, whole genome shotgun sequence.
GGGAAGGUGACUCAGUGGUAGAGUGCUUGCCUAGCAUGCAUGAAGCUGUGGGUUCAAUUCAUCAGUACCA